UACGAAGGGGGGCUAGCGUUGCUCGGAAUCACUGGGCGUAAAGGGUGCGUAGGCGGGUCUUUAAGUCAGGGGGUGAAAUCCUGGAGCUCAACUCCAGAACUGCCUUUGAUACUGAAGAUCUUGAGUUCGGGAGAGGUGAGUGGAACUGCGAGUGUAGAGGUGAAAUUCGUAGAUAUUCGCGAAGAACACCAGUGGCGAAGGCGGCUCACUGGCCCGAUACUGACGCUGAGGCACGAAAGCGUGGGGAGCAAACAGG
rnacentral:rRNA from 1 species